AAUCAAAAGUUUUCUGGAACAUCCGCUGAGAACCACAGAACCACAGAACCAACAGAACCGGAACCAAACGGAGCAGAAACAAACUGUGAAGCUGGGAAAACUUUAUGUUGUCCAUCUCCAGAACCACCUCCACCUGCAGAACCACCUCCACCUGCAGAACCACCUCCAUCUCCAGAACCACCUCCACCUGCAGAACCACCUCCAUCUCCAGAACCACCUCCAUCUCCAGAACCACCUCCACCUGCAGAACCACCUCCAUCUCCAGAACCACCUCCACCUGCAGAACCAUCAGCGCUGCAGCGUUGUGACGAGAGAGAAACAGAAAACUCUAAACAAACGUAAAGUAGAAACAUGAAGAAUCUUUCUCUUGUUCUUGGCUCACCUGUGUUUCGGGUCGGGUUCUGGAUUAAUUGAGAAUCAUAAUCAUUAGUUUCUUCUUCUGUUUGGCGACAAACUGAAGAUCUUGAAGCGGCCUUUUACCGAACAGAGAUCAGUGAACAGCUGCUUCAGGAGAGGAGGGCUGGGUUUGGUAUUUUUGGGUGGACUGGUCCUUUAAGGUAAAAUGCACUCAGGUGACUAACGACCUGACUUGCAGUUUUCAGCGGUUCUGCCGGACUGAUCCGAGCGUCUGCGUCAGCGCGGCGGCAGGAAGUGCUCCUCUCAUGAACAGUGAAGCGUGCAGAGAUCCGGCCCUGCAGGCUCUCGCUCUGUUUUGGGGGGAAAAGCGACAGAGUCAGUAGAUUCUAUAUUAAGAUCUUCUCCUCCGACAGCCAGCGUCUCCUCCCCGAGUCAUCCCUCUCUCCUCCGCGGGCCGUCCUGCUGCUGUCAACACGAGGACAUCAGGACGAAGCUGCAAUGUCUGAUUAUCUCAAGACUCUUCUGUUGUUUUUAUGUCUGUUUAAUCGUUUUGAGCUCAGAGGUCACGAGACGUUUGACCCUCAACAAUAAUCUGAACUCAGUGUGAAGACGAGAGACGAGCUUCAGCCGCCCGACGUGGAGGACAGGAAGCUGCCUCCUCUGAGACCUGUUACACUACACUCUUCUUCCUUCUUCCCUCCUUCCUCCUUUUCUCCUCCUCCUCCCCUGGAAACAAAGCUGACUUUGCACAAACAGCUGAAGAUUUCAGAAACCAGAGCUGAUGUGAUUGAUCAGGAGAAAUCUAAUGAUCCAAGUUGCAACUUUAAACUGAUAAUAACUGGAUGAAGCUCAUGACAGACUCUCUCUAAAUAAAUCAGGUGCUCAUAUAAACUGAAACCAGCAGCUGACAGAGAACCAGGAUGAAGUUUUAGAUAAGGAGGAGAAACCUGUUUGUGUGGCGAGGCUGAUCGUCACAUCGAGGUUCAGACGCUGAUGUUAAACAGUCUCUCUCUUCUUCUCAGCUCCUCACAGCAGCUCUGUUUGUCAGAUUUCUCUCAAGAACCAGAGUUUCAGCCACAGAUCCAGCUGUCAGCAGCAUGUGGAGCUGCAGGGCUCGCAGGAAGCUUAAUGACCGCGGCCUCUCUCCUCCCGCUGGCCGCUGUGACUGACGGCCUGACGGCUCUUGAUGAAUGACACUCUCCGCCUCGACAGACUGAAACCAACGAGGAGGGAGGAGGGAGGAUGGAGCCUAUUCAGCUGCUAAACAUCAGCCCUCCAUCCUCUGAGGCCCCGCUGCUGUAAUGAGCCCGCCGCUGGGUUCAGUGCAGGGCCGCGGGGGCCGAGGCCGAGCGUGACAACGUGAUGGAGCGCGAGCUGCCGAGGAAACGAGCAUGUCAGCGCUGUCGGAGCUCGUUCUCCAGAUUUCUCUUCCUGACCUUCGUCCAGAGAAACCAGCGCUGCUCCAUCUGUCUUCUCCUGCUUCGUAUUCACACCAGAGCUCCCGCCAUCCUCACAUGAAAUAUUCUCAUCCUUGAGUGCUGCCGAGCUGUAAAACAUCUCUGUCGUCGGCGUACAGAGCCUCCACUCAGACGUCCGAACAUCAAUUCUUCACCGUCCGUCCUUGAUCGGUUCAGACGUCACGACUCUGCGACCUCUGAGGAAGAAGCCCGUCUCUGAGAUCUCGAAACAAUGUGGAGUCAAGUCGCCGCUUUGCCAACAAACAAUGGAUGUGAUUGGAAAAACGACGUGAAUCACUGAUGAGUCACUGAAUCUCCUAAUGGAGCAGGAACCACUGAAUGUUUCAGGUCCGUCUUUCGGGUCCUGCGUUCCGACCCAGCAGCGGCUCGGUCCGUGACGCUGUGCUGUUUGUGUUGGCCGUCCUCAGCUCGCAGCUCCUCCGAGUCCAAAGCCCUCACACCGACACUCGCUCGGGUCUGGGUAGAGUUAGCGUUACCCGCCCUGUCCGCUUGUGGUUUGUCUGAUAACACCUAAUCACUGUGGUGUACAGUAAAAUCCCUCGUCUCCCUGCUGU